AGUGGGGAAUUUUGGACAAUGGGCGCAAGCCUGAUCCAGCNAUGCCGCGUGCAGGAAGAAGGCCUUCGGGUUGUAAACUGCUUUUGUCAGGGAAGAAAUCUUUUGGGUUAAUACCCCGGGAGGAUGACGGUACCUGAAGAAUAAGCACCGGCUAACUACGUGCCAGCAGCCGCGGUAAUACGUAGGGUGCNAGCGUUAAUCGGAAUUACUGGGCGUAAAGCGUGCGCAGGCGGUUUUGNAAGACAGAUGUGAAAUCCCCGGGCUCAACCUGGGAACUGCAUUUGUGACUGCANGGCUAGAGUACGGCAGAGGGGGAUGGAAUUCCGCGUGUAGCAGUGAAAUGCGUAGAUAUGCGGAGGAACACCNAUGGCGAAGGCAAUCCCCUGGGCCUGUACUGACGCUCAUGCACGAAAGCGUGGGGAGCAAACAGGAUUAGAUACCCCUGGUAGUCCACGCCCUAAACGAUGUCAAUCUGGUUGUUGGAUCGGCUUGCUGUUCAGUAACGAAGCUAACGCGUGAAGUUGACCGCCUGGGGAGUACGGCCGCAAGGUUGAAACUCAAAG
rnacentral:rRNA from 1 species